GCACUCGCGUCCUGUGAGCACCUACCAAGUGCCAGACACCGUGCUGAGCGAUGGAAAUGCAAAGAAAGAUUUGUGGAAACCAGAUUAAGAACUCCUGCUUGGGAUAGAAGUGGAACCAAGAAAAAAUAUGUACAAUGACUGAAAUAAUGAAUAAUAAAGUGGAAGAAUUCCAUGGAGACUGGAACGACCUCCAGGAAGUGAUGCAGAGCGAGAGGAGCAGAACCAGGAGAACAUUAUACACAGAGACUGAUACACUGUGGUACAAUCUAAUGUAAUGGACUUCUCUACUAGCAGCAAUGCAAUGAUCCAGGACAAUACAGAGGAACUUAUGAGAAAGAACACUAUCCAUAUUCAGAGGAAGAACUAUGUUCAAUGAGGUUCAGCACCAACUUUCUCCUCUCAGGGAUGUGACCCUCUCAAGGCAAGAAUCUGAGGUCACAGAAGAGACUGGCCAGUCAACAACUGAGGUAGGCUUUACUUUCUAUCCAAAUGAAAUAUUUGUUGGG
rnacentral:lncRNA from 1 species